rnacentral:piRNA from 1 species
UGCCUCUUGGAUGUCUGGUACCUGGC